AUUGAACGCUGGCGGCAGGCCUAACACAUGCAAGUCGAGCGGAUGAAGGGAGCUUGCUCCUGGAUUCAGCGGCGGACGGGUGAGUAAUGCCUAGGAAUCUGCCUGGUAGUGGGGGAUAACGUCCGGAAACGGGCGCUAAUACCGCAUACGUCCUGAGGGAGAAAGUGGGGGAACUUCGGACCUCACGCUAUCAGAUGAGCCUAGGUCGGAUUAGCUAGUUGGUGGGGUAAAGGCCUACCAAGGCGACGAUCCGUAACUGGUCUGAGAGGAUGAUCAGUCACACUGGAACCGAGACACGGUCCAGACUCCUACGGGAGGCAGCAGUGGGGAAUAUUGGACAAUGGGCGAAAGCCUGAUCCAGCCAUGCCGCGUGUGUGAAGAAGGUCUUCGGAUUGUAAAGCACUUUAAGUUGGGAGGAAGGGCAGUAAGUUAAUACCUUGCUGUUUUGACGUUACCAACAGAAUAAGCACCGGCUAACUUCGUG
rnacentral:rRNA from 1 species